GGCGCAUGGUGGAUGCCUAGGCUCUGAGAGGCGAUGAAGGACGUGGUAAGCUGCGAUAAGCCAGGGGGAACUGCACACGAGUGAUAUAUCCCUGGAUCUCCGAAUGGGACAACCCAGUACGCUGAAGGCGUAUUAUCUCGAAAGAGAAGCCAACCCGCUGAACUGAAACAUCUAAGUAGGCGGAGGAAAAGAAAAUAAACAAAAUGAUUCCCUAAGUAGUGGCGAGCGAACGGGGAAGAGCCCAAACCUGUGGGGCGUGCUCCAUGGGGGUUGUAGGACUGCAUUUAGAAACACUCAUCAAGCUGAACCAUCUGGAAAGUUGGGCCAUAGGGCGUGAAAGCCGCGUAAGCGUACAUUGAGUGGGACGAGCAGUAUCCUGAGUAGGGCGGGACCGGAGAAAUCCUGCCUGAAUCUGCCAGCACCAUCUGGUAAGGCUAAAUACUCCUCAGAGACCGAUAGUGAACCAGUACCGUAAGGGAAAGGUGAAAAGCACCCUGAAUAAGGGAGUGAAAUAGUACCUGAAACCGUGCGCCUACAAGCGGUCGGAGCUACGUUUACGUAGUGACGGCGUGCCUUUUGCAUAAUGAGCCUACGAGUUGCUCCUCACUGGCGAGGUUAAGUUCUUAUUUAACGGAGCCGUAGCGAAAGCGAGUCCGAACAGGGCGUCCAAUUAAGUCAGUGGGGGCAGACGCGAAACUUUGUGAUCUAUCCAUGGGCAGGAUGAAGGUGGGGUAACACCCAGUGGAGGUCCGAACCCAUUAGCGUUGAAAAGCUAUGGGAUGACCUGUGGAUAGGGGUGAAAGGCCAAUCAAACUGAGAGAUAGCUCGUUCUCCCCGAAAUGUUUUUAGGAACAGCGUUGCAUUAAUUAGAGUUUAUGAGAGGUAGAGCUACUGAUUGGGCUAGGGGGCUUCACCGCCUACCAAACCCUGACAAACUCCGAAUGCUCAUAAAUGCUAUGCAGCAGUGAGGCUGCGGGCGCUAAGGUCCGUGGCCGAGAGGGAAAUAACCCAGAAUAGCAGCUAAGGUCCCCAAUACAUGGUUAAGUUGGACAAACGAGGUGGCGUUUCUAUAACAGCCAGGAUGUUGGCUUGGAAGCAGCCAUUCAUUUAAAGAGUGCGUAACAGCUCACUGGUCGAGAGACGCCGCGCGGAAAAUAAUCGGGCAUCAAACCAUGAACCGAAGCUCUAUGAUUGCACUUUGAGUGUAUAUCGGUAGGGGAGCAUUGAAACCUGCGUUGAAGGUGAUGGGUGACCAUUGCUGGAGUGGUUUCAAACGAAAAUGUAGGCAUAAGUAACGAUAAUUAAGGUGAAAAACCUUAACGCCGAAAGUCUAAGGGUUCCUGAUCAACGUUAAUCGGAUCAGGGUUAGUCGGGUCCUUAGGUGAACCCGAAAGGGGUAGCUGAUGGAAAGCUGGUUAAUAUUCCAGCACCCACUGUAGUUUCGAUGGGGUGACGCAGUAUUGAACCUUCCCCGCACUUACGGAAUAGUGCGGUUAACCGUGUAGCUAUAGGUUUUGCAGGCAAAUCCGCAAGACCUGGCAAAGCGGGAAAGUACACCAAAGCUUCGGCUGCGGUGAGUGAAGUUAAAAGCUGCCGAGAAAAACCUCUAAGGUUAGGCUACAGCGGCCCGUACCGCAAACCGACACAGGUAGACGGGAUGAAUAUUCUCAGGCGCUCGGGUGAGCCGUGGAGAAGGAACUAGGCAAAUUGACGCUGUAACUUCGGGAUAAGGCGUACCAUAGCGAUAUGGUCACAGUAAAAUGGUUCAACCAACUGUUUAACAAAAACACAGGGCUCUGCAAAAUCGAAAGAUGACGUAUAGGGCCUGAUACCUGCCCGGUGCUGGAAGGUUAAGGAAGGGUGUUCGAGGGUAACCUCAAAGCUCCUGACUGAAGCCCCAGUAAACGGCGGCCGUAACAAUAACGGUCCUAAGGUAGCGAAAUUCCUUGUCGGGUAAGUUCCGACCUGCACGAAUGGUCUAAUGAGUUGAACACUGUCUCCUCCACGAGCCCGGUGAAAUUGUAGUAUCGGUGAAGAUGCCGGUUACCCGCCACGGGACGGAAAGACCCCGUGAACCUUCACUACAACUUUGCAUUGAUUUUGAACAACGGGUGUGUAGGAUAGUUGGGACGCUAUGAAGCAGCCUCGCCAGGGGUUGUGGAGCGGUCGUUGAAAUACCAACCUCUCUUUGUUUAGAGUCUAAUCCCUUUCGAGGGAAACAGUGCAUGGUGGGUAGUUUGACUGGGGUGGUCGCCUCCUAAAGUGUAACGGAGGCUUGCAAAGGUUCCCUCAGUACGGUUGGUAAUCGUACGCAGAGCGCAUCAGUAUAAGGGAGCUUGACUGUGAGACCUACAAGUCGAGCAGGGACGAAAGUCGGCUGAAGUGAUCCGGUGGUUUCUAUAUGGAAAGGCCAUCGCUCAAAGGAUAAAAGGUACUCCGGGGAUAACAGGCUGAUCUUUCCCAAGAGCUCAUAUCGACGGAAAGGUUUGGCACCUCGAUGUCGGUUCGUCACAUCCUGGGGCUGGAGAAGGUCCCAAGGGUUCGGCUGUUCGCCGAUUAAAGUGGCACGUGAACUGGGUUCAGAACGUCGCAAGACAGUUCGGUCCCUAUCUGUGGUGGGCGCAAGAAAAUUGAGUGGACAUGACCUUAGUACGAGAGGACCGGGUCGUACGUACCGCUGGUGUAUCGGUUGUGCCGCCAGGUGCAGUGCCGAGUAGCUAUGUACGGACAGGAUAAACGCUGAAAGCAUCUAAGCGUGAAACCUUCCACAAGAUGAGUUUUCUUUUAAGGGCCGCAGCAGACUACUGCGUUGAUAGGCUACAGGUGUAAUCGUAGUAAUACGUUCAGCCGAGUAGUACUAAUUGCCCGU
rnacentral:rRNA from 1 species